rnacentral:rRNA from 1 species
GACGAACGCUGGCGGCGUGCUUAACACAUGCAAGUCGAACGGAAAGGCCCUGCUUUUGUGGGGUGCUCGAGUGGCGAACGGGUGAGUAACACGUGAGUAACCUGCCCUUGACUUUGGGAUAACUUCAGGAAACUGGGGCUAAUACCGGAUAGGAGCUCCUGCUGCAUGGUGGGGGUUGGAAAGUUUCGGCGGUUGGGGAUGGACUCGCGGCUUAUCAGCUUGUUGGUGGGGUAGUGGCUUACCAAGGCUUUGACGGGUAGCCGGCCUGAGAGGGUGACCGGCCACAUUGGGGCUGAGAUACGGCCCAGACUCCUACGGGAGGCAGCAGUGGGGAAUAUUGCACAAUGGGCGGAAGCCUGAUGCAGCAACGCCGCGGGCGGGAUGACGGCCUUCGGGUUGUAAACCGCUUUCGCCUGUGACGAAGCGUGAGUGACGGUAAUGGGUAAAGAAGCACCGGCUAACUACGUG